UUAGAGGUGUAAUACCACGCCCCACCACAGAGUGGCGCACUUGCUUUAUAUGUGUCUCGGGUCACGUUUUUCCCAGUCCCGGUUAAGAUGUCGACCUGAAAAGCUGUGAACAAACUAAAGAACUGUAUUUAAUCCUGUGUGUGUGAGAAGCUAACGGAGGAGCGUUCCUGUCUGUGGGCCCUCUCAUUGUGAACUCCGAGGCUACAAUGAAGAAGUGGCCGGGAGUGUCCAGCGGCCAACUUGGGGCAGCCAUCAACCAAAAGCUGACAGAGCUCCGAAGAGCACACAAAAAAUAAUAAUAUUUGGCUAUCUUUUUAUUUUUCAUUGUAUUUGAUUUUUGUUUCUGUUUAUAGCCACUUGAAAGCAUGCACUUUUUUGUUUCUGUUUAUUUGAAAGCUAAUGUUGCACUUUUUUGUUUUUUGUUUAUUGCCACUUAAGCUAAUGUUGCACUUUAAAAUAAUUUUUAAAUAAAGUGUUUAAGUUCUA